rnacentral:rRNA from 1 species
UACCAGCACCCCGAGUGGUCGGGACGUUUAUUGGGCCUAAAGCAUCCGUAGCCGGUUAUACAAGUCUUCCGUUAAAUCCAGCUGCUUAACAGAUGGGCUGCGGAAGAUACUAUGGAGCUAGGAGGCGGGAGAGGCAAGCGGUACUCGAUGGGUAGGGGUAAAAUCCGUUGAUCCAUUGAAGACCACCAGUGGCGAAGGCGGCUUGCCAGAACGCGCUCGACGGUGAGGGAUGAAAGCUGGGGGAGCAAACCGG